AUGUUGCAUGUGGCUUACUCUGGAUAUA
rnacentral:piRNA from 1 species